ACCAAGGAUAGGCAAACUCAUGC
rnacentral:siRNA from 1 species